CACCAGACUCCUACGGGAGGCAGCAGUGGGGGAUAUUGCACAAUGGGGGCAACCCUGAUGCAGCGACGCCGCGUGAGCGAUGGAGUACUUCGGUAUGUAAAGCUCUGUCAGCAGGGAAGAGAAUGACGGUACCUGACCAAGAAGCCCCGGCUAAAUACGUGCCAGCAGCCGCGGUAAUACGUAUGGGGCAAGCGUUAUCCGGAUUUACUGGGUGUAAAGGGAGCGUAGACGGUGAUGCAAGUCAGAAGUGAAAGCCCGGGGCUCAACGCCGGGACUGCUUUUGAAACUGUGUGACUGGAGUGCAGGAGAGGUAAGCGGAAUUCCUGGUGUAGCGGUGAAAUGCGUAGAUAUCAGGAGGAACACCAGUGGCGAAGGCGGCUUACUGGACUGUAACUGACGUUGAGGCUCGAAAGCGUGGGGAGCAAACAGGAUUAGAUACCCGCGUAC
rnacentral:rRNA from 1 species